AGGCAGUGUAACGUUAGCUGACUGUUUUCUCAUUUGUCAGCUCACGCUACAGUUGCUCC
rnacentral:ncRNA from 2 species